rnacentral:pre_miRNA from 1 species
AGAUAAGUCCUUUAACUUUGUAACACUGUGCAACUAAGUCCUUCCGUUAACAAAAUAUUUAUUUUCUUAAAACAAAACACUUAACACAUUACAUUAAUGUUACACUCAACAAUGUUUCAUCGUCUAACAUGAUUGCACGCUUAAAUUAAACUAAAAAAAACAACAUGUUACAAGGAUUAUUCACUUUACUUGAUUAAAUAUCAAGCUUAUUGUUGCAAUAACAUAAGUUAAAGCCAACAACAUGCAAGUUACAUUAGCAAUCUUCAAAAAUAAUCAUAACAUUUUCCAAUUAAUAACAUGUUUUUGCCUUUUGCAUGCCACAUCACAGACUUCACAGCCACGUCAGCGUUUUUUUGACGGUGAGUUAACGGAAGGACUUAGUUGUAUACUGUUACAAAGUUAAAGGACCUAUCUG